rnacentral:rRNA from 1 species
AUUGAACGCUGGCGGCAUGCUUUACACAUGCAAGUCGAACGGCAGCGCGGGCUUCGGCCUGGCGUCGAGUGGCGAACGGGUGAGUAAUACAUCGGAACGUGCCCAGUAGUGGGGGAUAGCACGGCGAAGGCCGGAUUAAUACAGCAUACGACCUGAGGGUGAAAGCGGGGGAUCUUCGGACAUCGCCCCAUUUGAGCGGCCGAUGGCAGAUUAGCGAGUUGGUGGGGUAAAGGCCUACCAAGGCGACGAUCUGUAGCUGGUCUGAGAGGACGACCAGCCACACUGGGACUGAGACACGGCCCAGACUCCUACGGGAGGCAGCAGUGGGGAAUUUUGGACAAUGGGCGAAAGCCUGAUCCAGCAAUGCCGCGUGUGUGAUGAAGGCCUUCGGGUUGUAAAGCACUUUUGGCGGGAACGAAAAGGACUGUGCCAAUACCACGGUUCGAUGACGGUACCCGCAGAAUAAGCACCGGCUAACUACGUG